ensembl:lncRNA
UGCCGCUGACAUCAUAGCUCAUCGGUUCCGUGAAGGGGGUCAAUAUUGUCCAGGGCUACAUAAGGCGCCCGCUCAAAGGGACCCUGCAUUCUCUCUGAGGUGAAGGUCACUUUUCUGCUCCACUUCGCUCCAGCCCAGGGUGAGUAGCUUACUGCCCUCAUUCCUCUCUGUUAGAUCUGGAGAGCCGCCACCACCACUUCAGCUGAACGGAGCAGCUCAAGGUAAAACCAUGGCCUUUCUCAUCACCUUGGGACAGAUGCUACUGCUCACAACAGUUAUCUUCCACCACACAGGAUCCCUCCCUCUGUGGGAGAGUAACCAAGGGGAUCUGGAGGGAAUCAUCGGGAGUGAGAUCAGUCAUUUAAACACCCAGUCCCUGUUCGCCAGGAACUAUGUGAAUGCCCUGGUUGAAGCCAGACUGAGAUCGGGCCCACAGACGAGACAGUUGGGAGACAUUGAGUUUUCCAACCGAUACGCUGAGUACUUGAGGUCCAAAGCUAAGCACAGCUCAAUCUGCGCGUUCCUCCGACGCAUGCAGAGUGCUAAGAAAAGUGGGUUAGGAGGAGAUACAGAGAAGGUCAACCUGCUGUUGAAACAGUACAUGUGUCCCAAUGUCUACCACUGGGCAGCUGAGUUAUAACUGGAGGACAACAGGGCUGGAAAUGUGGGAAACGACUGAAGUCUCCAACCUGGACUACUAUGGAAGUCUGACUGCCUAAUGUUACAGUAGUAACCAGUGGGCUGUUUGAACAGUUUAAGAUACUAUUCUAUUAGAUUAGGUUUAAUCAGUCAUGGAAGGUUAUGACAUUUGGAGGUCUCAGAGGGUAAUAAAUAUGGUUUAUUAAUUCGACUAAUCUGUAGUUAUUUGAAUGACUUUAUUCUUCCAGAAGGAACUUCAGUUGUGGCAAGUUGGAUAAGAUAAAUCUAACGAUAUAUAGUGAACAUAUAAACAGCAACAUUCACACAUGACAGAUAUAAACGCUUACAAGGUACGUGCAAGGUAAAUGUAAGUUACACAACUCUAUUUAAUUAAAGAGCUGUGCUCUACAAGACAAACACAAGUCACACGAUUAAAAUGUUCACUUAAAAGAUGUACUGAUAUCGGUACAAAACUGCAGUGGCUCUCUUGGUUUAAAGAGCUAAGAACCCGAGCCUGUGCCCUGAUGGCAGUACCGUAUAUUGGCUGUUCAGUGGAUGUGUAAGAUCCAAAACUAUUUCUUUACCCCUCUUACAUGUGCACUCUUUGUAAAUGUCUCAGAAAGACAGAUAUGGCUAUCUCCUACCUGUACCACCAGUGUCAGUACCACUUUACAAAUAAUGACGUUCAUGAUUAAGCAUUAACAAACUAUUCAUAAAUGUCCUUUAUUACCUGUAAACAUAUGAAAACAUUUAUAAGCAUGAUUAUUUAUAACACUUUUAAAAGUAAUGGCUAAUUUAUGAAAGUUAUAAAAAUAAAAAAACUUUACCCAAGAAUCUAUAGACUGGGUAGGUAAAAUGAUACCUGAACCUGAUACUACACUCUUAGAAAAAAGGGUUCCAAAAGGGUUCUUUGGCUAUCCCACAUAUGAGAACCCUUUUUGGUUACAGGCAGAACUCUUUUGGGUUCCAUGGAGAAAACCUGUGGAAAUGGUUCUACAUGGAACACAAGUGUUCUUCUACCUGGAACCAAAAAGGGUUCUUCAAAGGGUUCUCCUAUGGGGACCUUUUCGGUUUUAGAUGGCACCUUUUUUUCUAAGAGUAUAUAUAAAGACUGUCAUGGACUUACCCUUUUCUUUGUAAAUGUACCUGAUAACAAUUCUGAAAUGUCACAUGAUGUUCCUUCCUUUAUUGUCAUUGUUGUGAAUAAAGAGUACUUGACUAG